AUUAUGGCUCAGGAUGAACGCUAGCGGGAGGCCUAAUACAUGCAAGUCGAGCGGUAGAGUGACUUCGGUUGCUUGAGAGCGGCGCACGGGUGAGUAACGCGUACAUGACCUACCUUUAAGACUGGGAUAGCCCUGGGAAACUGGGAUUAAUACCGGAUGUGAUAAUACGUAUAGAGAUGUAUUAUUAAAGUUGAGGCGCUUAGAGAUGGAUGUGCGUCUGAUUAGCUAGUUGGUAGGGUAACGGCCUACCAAGGCUACGAUCAGUAGGGGGCGUGAGAGCGUGGCCCCCCCCCAUGGGUACUGAGACACGGACCCGACUCCUACGGGAGGCAGCAGUAAGGAAUAUUGGUCAAUGGACGGAAGUCUGAACCAGCCCAUCCCGCGUGCAGGAUGACUGCCCUAUGGGUUGUAAACUGCUUUUAGCAGAGACGAAACGCCUUCAUUUAUGAGGGUCUGACGGUAUCUGCAGAAUAAGCACCCGGCUAACUCCGUGCCAGCAGCCCGCGGUAAUACGAGGGUGCAAGCGUUAUCCGGAAUCACUGGGUUUAAAGGGUGCGUAGCGGAUAUUUAAGUCAGUGGUGAAAUCCUGUCGCUUAACGAUAAAAUUGCC
rnacentral:rRNA from 1 species